CGGAGGGUGCAAGCGUUAUCCGGAUUCACUGGGUUUAAAGGGUGCGUAGGUGGGCAAGUAAGUCAGUGGUGAAAUCUCCGGGCUCAACCCGGAAACUGCCAUUGAUACUAUUUGUCUUGAAUACUGUGGAGGUCAGCGGAAUAUGUCAUGUAGCGGUGAAAUGCUUAGAUAUGACAUAGAACACCAAUUGCGAAGGCAGCUGGCUACACAAAUAUUGACACUGAGGCACGAAAGCGUGGGGAUCAAACAGGAUUAGAUACCCUGGUAGUCCACGCCCUAAACUAUGGAUACUCGACAUUUGCGAUAAACUGCAAGUGUCUGAGCGAAAGCAUUAAGUAUCCCACCUGGGAAGUACGAUCGCAAGAUUG
rnacentral:rRNA from 1 species